rnacentral:ribozyme from 1 species
AAAAAAGAGCGUCUAUCAAAUCUCGAUAGGUAUAUAGCGCUUCAUUUAGAGAGAGUAGAGCGAGAGCAAAAGGGUGAACGACAUCAUCAAAGUUGGGUGACAAAGAGAGAGAGAGAGAGAGAGAGUAAAGAUGAAGACAGCCGUGUUUGUAGUAUUAUUAGCAAGUAUUGCA